GCCCCCAUAGCUCAGGGGAUAGAGCACUGGCCUCCGGAGCCAGGUGCGAAGGUUCGAAUCCUUCUGGGGGCACCC
rnacentral:tRNA from 1 species